AAGGCCUUCGGGUUGUAAAGCUCUUUUGUCAGGGAAGAAACGGUAACCUCGAAUAAAGGUUGCUAAUGACGGUACCUGAAGAAUAAGCACCGGCUAACUACGUGC
rnacentral:rRNA from 1 species